rnacentral:rRNA from 1 species
UCACUCCUACGGGACGCAGCAGUGGGGAAUAUUGCACAAUGGGGGAAACCCUGAUGCAGCGACGCCGCGUGAGUGAGGAAGUAUUUCGGUAUGUAAAGCUCUAUCAGCAGGGAAGAAAAUGACGGUACCUGACUAAGAAGCCCCGGCUAACUACGUGCCAGCAGCCGCGGUAAUACGUAGGGGGCAAGCGUUAUCCGGAUUUACUGGGUGUAAAGGGAGCGGAGACGGAGGAGCAAGUCUGGUGUGAAAAUCCGG